UUUAUUUAUGAAGGAAAGAGACACAGAACAUGAGCAGGGGAAGGGCAGAGAGAGAAGGAGACACAGAAUCCAAAACAGGCUCCAGGCUCUGAGCGGGCAGCACAGAGCCCAAUGCAGGGCUCGAACUCACAAACCAUGAGAUCAUGACCUGAGCCGAAGUCGGACACUUAACCAACUGAGCCCCCCAGGCGCCCCUAGUAGGUAUUAUUUGAUAUGUUCUUUUAAAUGGCAAUGUCGGUAGUUUUCAAUUAGUUGGUUUAGUGUUACAUCUUUAUUCUUUUCUUCUACCUUCAAAUCCAGUCUAAGUACUCGUGAAACCUGCUGUCACCCGGGUGUACGGCCUGACAGAUAUUUAACCAGGGAGAACAUAUUCCAGAACAGGACGUCACAGAGACAGUCACGGGAAGUCGGAUGAAUAGGAAGAGCGACGCCCGAGUGUUGAGGGAUGUAGUGAGCAUACUGCGCAGGCGACCUCUUGUUUCACCCCAUUUGCAGUUGCAGGGAGCAGGGGUCGCAGCGGAAGGCUGUGCCAGGCUGGCCAGACAUGACCUUCCUCCAUUAUUCUGCUCACGUGCUGCUUCCUAACAGACCCGCCAGCGUGGCGGCUGCAGCGCCAGCACGUUCAUCCCGUGGGUGGCCUGGGCUCGGCUAGGAGGCCCCAGGUGCUCCCCUCCAGUCCCGGUCGGGUUGUGGCUGGGGCUGGAAUCCUCUCCGAAGUCUGUCGCUCACGUGGCCAGCAGUUGCUCCUGGCCGUCCUCUGGGACCUUCGGGAAUGCUGGGAAUUGGGUGCAGCCCUCUUCAUGGAAGGUUCCGUGUGUUAGUAAUUUGGUUUGAGUUACUUAAUCUCUCAGAGAGACUGGACGUUAGAAACUGAGUCCUCUUCCUCCCGACUCCGUAAGUCACCUCCCCCGAGUCCUUUCACGCCACUGGUGAGGCCCCCCAGCGGAUGCCUGUCACCUGCCUCCCUGUUAAGACAUUCAGGAGCGGUGCUUACGUUACCAAUGGCAUUGAGUGUGACAAGUGUCCCUUUUCACAAAAAGUGAAUUUGACCUCCGUUUUCAUGUGUUAAAUAGGCCUAAUUUCCACUGACACAAACAGGACUUGGUUUAAUAAAAAUGAAUAGAAUCUUCAUUGAUGCAAACGGCCUCACUGACCUUCCUCUUUCUCCCCUUCCCUGCAGCUGUGUUAGGUAACGCCUCUUUGUCCUUGAGUCAGGUGGUGGUCUGGGGGUUUUGGUGACCGUUUAUUUUGUCUGUGCCCCUUAAUGUGGGGCAGGACUGUGUCCCCCGUAGCACAGCCCUGUCCCUUCAGAGCUCUGCGUUGUGCUCUGUGUGCUCUUGACGUCCCUCAUCUAAAUUACAGGCCUGUGAUAACAUGGCAGAUCCUGCU
rnacentral:lncRNA from 1 species